AAAUAAAAUAAAUUUGUAUUGAUCUGGAUUCGAUAAUUGGAUAUCUUUUUGUUUUUGGAUACUUAUUUAAGUAACGGUUUUAAGAUUUGAAAUUUCAACUGUUUUCUGUUAAAUGUUGUGAUCAGUAAAUUGGACCAAUUGAUUUAUGUGAUUGAUUAGAUACAUUGUAUGAUUGAGAUUAAGUUUUAUUAGUUGUCCAAAAUUGAUUCAAUGCUUUUAAAGUUGCCAUUUUAAAGUGAAUUAACAUUACCAAGGAAAAGAAAGUUUUCUUUCCAAUGAUUGAUUGAUAUGCAUGGCAUUUCUUUUAAUUAAAUAAUCAAGCGAUUAACAAUCAACUUCAGAAAGAGUUGAAAGAUUGUCUGGUUUACCUGAAUUCAUCACAAUCCAAGUUGACUGACAAACUGUUGUGAGAGGCAAAUUGUUCAACAUGUAUUACCAGUUAUCGCUGUUCACAUCUUAAUUUUACAGCAUUUUAGUUUGUUAAUUAACUUAAACAGAGUAAUUGUGCAACCAUCACAAUUAAUUUUCCACUCAAAUUGUAAUGAUAUGAUCAAGUUUCUUCUUUAUAACCACAAACAAAAUGGUUUAAUUCAAUGUAAACCCAAAUAAUAAGGAUAACCGUAAUUGUGUGUACGCAUCAUUAAAUGGCUAAAACCUUUAGGAAAUACAAAUAUUAUUACAACAAUAUCAACAUAUUAGUCUAGUUUAAUGAACAAUUUAAUGUUAUUGUAUUAUUUUUGCCCUUGCAUUGUUUAAUUAAAGUCGCUUCCUUUGAUUGUUAACUUAAA